GCUCAGCCCUAAACAUUGAUUGUACCCCACAACCCCAAUCCGCCUGGGAAUUACGAACACGAGUUUAAAACCCAAAGGACUUGGCGGUGCUUUACAUCCCCCUAGAGGAGCCUGUCCUAGAACCGAUAAUCCCCGUUCAACCUCACCCUCUCUAGCCCCUUUCCGCCUAUAUACCGCCGUCGCCAGCUCACCCUGUGAAGGUCCAAUAGUAAGCAAAAUUGGUACAGCCCAGUACGUCAGGUCGAGGUGUAGCGAAUGAGAGGGGAAGAGAUGGGCUACAUUCGCUGGCUGCAGCGGAUUACAGAUGAUGCAUUGAAACAUGUAACUGAAGGUGGAUUUAGUAGUAAGCUAGGAGUAGAGUGCCCUGCUGAAGUCGGCCCUAAAGCGCGU
rnacentral:rRNA from 1 species